GGCGGGGUGGCCGAGUGGUUAGGCAGAGGUCUGCAAAACCUCUUACAGCGGUUCAAUUCCGCUCCCCGCCUCCA
rnacentral:tRNA from 1 species